rnacentral:rRNA from 1 species
UUUAACUUCCUACGGGAGGCUGCAGUGGGGAAUAUUGCACAAUGGGCGCAAGCCUGAUGCAGCCAUGCCGCGUGUAUGAAGAAGGCCUUCGGGUUGUAAAGUACUUUCAGCGGGGAGGAAGGGAGUAAAGUUAAUACCUUUGCUCAUUGACGUUACCCGCAGAAGAAGCACCGGCUAACUCCGUGCCAGCAGCCGCGGUAAUACGGAGGGUGCAAGCGUUAAUCGGAAUUACUGGGCGUAAAGCGCACGCAGGCGGUUUGUUAAGUCAGAUGUGAAAUCCCCGGGCUCAACCUGGGAACUGCAUCUGAUACUGGCAAGCUUGAGUCUCGUAGAGGGGGGUAGAAUUCCAGGUGUAGCGGUGAAAUGCGUAGAGAUCUGGAGGAAUACCGGUGGCGAAGGCGGCCCCCUGGACGAAG